AAAACAUAUAAGGCGUCUAAGAACAACAAUAAUAAAAGCAAUAAUAAAAGACAUCUAGGAGUAUCAGAGCAUAAUAAAUGUCUAAAUGUUACAACAAGGGAUAAGGAUAAAACUGUAAAUCCACUAAAUGAAACAUAAAGUGAUACAAGAAAAUUCCAGAUACAAGUGCUAUAGGUAGAUACAAAGGUGGUCUCUAUACUUGGAUACCAAACCUCUCACUCUCUCAACUACAAAAAGGAAAGAGUAAA
rnacentral:lncRNA from 1 species